rnacentral:rRNA from 1 species
GAUGAACGCUGGCGGCGUGCUUAACACAUGCCAGUCGAACGGAAAGGCCCAAGCUUGCUUGGGUACUCGAGUGGCGAACGGGUGAGUAACACGUGGGUGAUCUGCCCUGCACUUCGGGAUAAGCCUGGGAAGCUGGGUCUAAUACCGGAUAGGACGAUGGUUUGGAUGCCAUUGUGGAAAGUUUUUUCGGUGUGGGAUGAGCUCGCGGCCUAUCAGCUUGUUGGUGGGGUAGUGGCCUACCAAGGCGUCGACGGGUAGCCGGCCUGAGAGGGUGUACGGCCACAUUGGGACGGAGAUACGGCCCAGACUCCUGCGGGAGGCAGCAGUGGGGAAUAUUGCACAAUGGGCGCAAGCCUGAUGCAGCGACGCCGCGUGGGGGAUGACGGCCUUCGGGUUGUAAACUCCUUUCGCUAGGGACGAAGCGUUUUUGUGACGGUACCUGGAGAAGAAGCACCGGCUAACUACGUG